CCCUUAGAUGUUCUGGGCUGCACGCGCGCUACACUGAAGCGUUCAACGAGUAUUCACCUUGCCCGGGAGGGUUGGGUAAUCUUUUCAAAACGCUUCGUGAUGGGGAUAGAUUAUUGCAAUUAUUAAUCUUGAACGAGGAAUUCCUAGUAAACGCGAGUCAUCAGCUCGCAUUGAUUACGUCCCUGCCCUUUGUACACACCGCCCGUCGCACCUACCGAUUGAAUGGUUCGGUGAAGAUCUCGGACUUCGAUAUUUGUUCUUCAUUGAACUUAUAUAGUGGGAAGUUAUCUGAACCUCAUCAUUUAGAGGAAGGUGAAGUCGUAACA
rnacentral:rRNA from 1 species